rnacentral:rRNA from 1 species
AACAAACGCUGGCGGCGUGCCUAACACAUGCAAGUCGUACGAGAAAGUCGGCUUCGGCCGAUGAGUACAGUGGCGCACGGGUGAGUAGCGCGUGGGUAAUCUGCCCCCCGGUCAGGAAUAACCCGCCGAAAGGCGGGCUAAUACCCGAUAACACUGACGCUCCGCGGAGCGUCUUUCAAAGGAGGCCUCUGUUUACAAGCUUUCGCCGGAGGAUGAGCCCGCGUACCAUUAGCUAGUUGGCAGGGUAAUGGCCUACCAAGGCUACGAUGGUUAGCUGGUCUGAGAGGAUGGCCAGCCACACUGGAACUGAGACACGGUCCAGACUCCUACGGGAGGCAGCAGUGAGGAAUCUUGCGCAAUGGGGGAAACCCUGACGCAGCAACGCCGCGUGAGUGAGGAAGGCCUUCGGGUCGUAAAGCUCUGUCAGAUGGGAAGAAAUGGAUGGGGGCUAAUAUCGCCCAUCCUUGACGGUACCAUCAGAGGAAGCACCGGCUAACUCCGUCG